rnacentral:rRNA from 1 species
UACGUAGGGUGCAAGCGUUUGUCCGGAAUUAUUGGGCGUAAAGAGCUCGUAGGCGGUUCGUCGCGUCGGCUGUGAAAACCCGGAGCUCAACUCCGGGCCUGCAGUCGGUACGGGCAGACUAGAGUGAUGUAGGGGAGACUGGAAUUCCUGGUGUAGCGGUGAAUGCGCAGAUAUCAGGAGGAACACCGAUGGCGAAGGCAGGUCUCUGGGCAUUAACUGACGCUGAGGAGCGAAAGCAUGGGGAGCGAACAGG